GACGAACGCUGGCGGCGUGCUUAACACAUGCAAGUCGAACGAAGAUGCCGGAGUGCUUGCACUUUGGCAGACUGAGUGGCGGACGGGUGAGUAACGCGUGGGUAACCUGCCUUAUACAGGGGGAUAACAGUUGGAAACGACUGCUAAUACCGCAUAAGCGCACGGUAUCGCAUGAUACAGUGUGAAAAACUCCGGUGGUAUAAGAUGGACCCGCGUCUGAUUAGCUUGUUGGUGAGGUAACGGCCCACCAAGGCGACGAUCAGUAGCCGGCCUGAGAGGGUGAACGGCCACAUUGGGACUGAGACACGGCCCAAACUCCUACGGGAGGCAGCAGUGGGGAAUAUUGCACAAUGGGGGAAACCCUGAUGCAGCGACGCCGCGUGAGUGAUGAAGUAUUUCGGUAUGUAAAACUCUAUCAGCAGGGAAGAUAAUGACGGUACCUGACUAAGAAGCACCGGCUAAAUACGUGCCAGCAGCCGCGGU
rnacentral:rRNA from 1 species